CCUACGGGAGGCAGCAGUGAGGAAUAUUGGUCAAUGGGCGCGAGCCUGAACCAGCCAAGUCGCGUGAGGGAAGACGGUCCUAUGGAUUGUAAACCUCUUUUGUCGGGGAGCAAAAGACGCCACGCGUGGCGUUCCGCGAGUACCCGAAGAAAAAGCAUCGGCUAACUCCGUGCCAGCAGCCGCGGUAAUACGGAGGAUGCGAGCGUUAUCCGGAUUUAUUGGGUUUAAAGGGUGUGCAGGCGGAAGAUCAAGUCAGCGGUAAAAUUGAGAGGCUCAACCUCUUCGAGCCGUUGAAACUGGUUUUCUUGAGUGAGUGAGAAGUAGGCGGAAUGCGUUGUGUAGCGGUGAAAUGCAUAGAUAUCACGCAGAACUCCGAUUGCGAAGGCAGCAUACCGGCGCGCAACUGACGCUCAUGCACGAAAGUGUGGGUAUCGAACAGGAUUAGAUACCCGGAUAGUC
rnacentral:rRNA from 1 species